rnacentral:tRNA from 1 species
GCAUCGAACGUAUCAAAAAAACUACAUCAAACAUCUUAAAGAAAGGUUACGCUAUGGUGUUUACUU